AGGACAUGUGAGCUCCUCAGACGCAACAAAGUUUUGGGCAAGAGCUCCUGGGACUGAAAAUGACUACCGCCCCAUUCCUCCGAUCCCCGAGGACCCAGAACCCACAGUGUUGAGAAAAGCUUUGACGGAGCCGGCGGGUGGAUCUCCACUCCAGAUUUUCCAGCUGUCCCUGCCCCCCCACCGCUCGGAGCAGGAUGCCGAGAUGGCUGGUGAUGCAGAAGGAGGAUCACUGGCACACAGGGACCCAGGUGCCAGACCAAGGGUUCUGGGACCACGGUGGUUCCCUCCUUCUCCUCUGAGAACAAAAAAGGCAGACGGACCCACAUGCCCAUGAGGAAAUGUCCAGCUGUCCUCUAAGAAACUACAGACACCGUUCGUAGCGUGGGAUCCCUACAAAGCUGGGCCACAGGCUGACGGGGCCUGUCGCUUGCCAACCCCAGCCCUAUGAGGACACCCUCCACUCGAGAGCCCCGGGAUAUCAGAGGAGGCGCCGCGGGAAUCUGAAUGCGUCACUUCUGAGAGGAGCCGUGAGCAGAGAGAGCGGAUCCAGCGUGACGACUCGGGAAGCAGUUUCUGGAGAACAGAACGGACGAGGGAAGGGAGAGGAAGCUCCGAGCGUCCGGAGCACAGUUAUUGAUGACACCAAGUCUUGAAGAUGAAAUGGUCCCCAGAUGGAAGGAAACAGGGCAUCCGGGUCACUGCUUGAAGGAGAGCUGCCCGGUUGAGGACACUUUCACGGGACUGGAAUGUGAGCAACAAGUCGGUGUUCCAGUGGGAUUUGGGGUAUUCUGGGGCAUCAGCUAUUGGGACAUGGAUUAAUAUGGUCUCUGAUCUUCUCAAACCUUCUCAGACUGUUCUGUUCUCUGUAUGUGGGAUCAACUAGACGUUUCUGUUGAGCUUGUCCUCUCCCUCCUCUCUCCGGAUCCUUUCUACCCUCCCCGCUGGCGUGUCGUCAGAUGAAUAAUGGCAGAAACAAAGAGCAGAGGGAACAGAACAAUGAUUGUUUCACUCAUGAAGUCUUUUCUUCACCCGUUCACUUCUUUCCCUCUACAUGACUGGGCAGCAUGGCCACAGCCCAGG